GAAUUCGCCCUUAGAGUUUGAUCCUGGCUCAGGACGAACGCUGGCGGCGUGCCUAACACAUGCAAGUCGAGCGAUGAAAGAGAAGUGGCGGUCUUCGGACCAAAGCAUUUCUGGAUUAGCGGCGGACGGGUGAGUAACACGUGAGCAACCUGCCUAUCACAUCGGGAUAGCCUCGGGAAACUGGGAUUAAUACCGAAUGAAACAUAUUGAUAACCUUAUCGAAAUGUCAAAGAUUUAUCGGUGAUAGAUGGGCUCGCGUCUGAUUAGCUAGUUGGUGAGAUAAAAGCCCACCAAGGCAAUGAUCAGUAGCCGGCCUGAGAGGGUGAUCGGCCACAUUGGGACUGAGACACGGCCCAAACUCCUACGGGAGGCAGCAGUGGGGAAUAUUGCACAAUGGAGGGAACUCUGAUGCAGCGACGCCGCGUGAGCGAAGAAGGAAUUCGUUUCGUAAAGCUCUGUCCUAUGGGAAGAUAAUGACGGUACCAUAGAAGAAAGCCCCGGCUAACUACGUGCCAGCAGCCGCGGUAAUACGUAGGGGGCGAGCGUUGUCCGGAAUUAUUGGGCGUAAAGGGUUCGUAGGCGGUAAUACAUGUCAGAUGUGAAAUCUUGUGGCUUAACCACAUCAAGCAUCUGAAACUGUAUAACUUGAGUGGAGGAGAGGUAAGUGGAAUUCCUAGUGUAGCGGUGAAAUGCGUAGAUAUUAGGAAGAAUACCGGUAGCGAAGGCGACUUACUGGCCUCUAACUGACGCUGAUGAACGGAAGCGUGGGUAGCAAACAGGAUUAGAUACCCUGGUAGUCCACGCCGUAAA
rnacentral:rRNA from 1 species